AAAAUAUUCUCUUUAUAGCUUAGGGAAUAUAAAUUGUUGGAUUUUUUUGGUCAUCACGAGAGAAUCGCACAAAGAAAGAGAACGAAGAGAAAGAGAAAGAGAGAGGAGUGGAGGUGGAAAGGAUUUUGAUAUUUGUUGGACUCAUCAAAAUCGAAAAAAAUCUAAAAGUAUAAAAGAGGUAGAAGAAGCUCUGGAUGCCGUCUCUUCCCGUCGUCGGCGACGGAGGUUAUGCCUGUUGGCUCUGAGGAUCAAUCAGGGUUCCUUUUGAGUGGGUUGUUUUCUUCUGAGGGCAUGGAGCAAGUUUUCGUCUGGCCAAGCUGCUACAAUCAUCAGCUUUUCUCAUUCCAAGAAGCGCUCGAUUGGCGGUUUCUUGUUCCUUCUGAUUUCCUUGUGGGCUCUUUCGUUAACUGCACUUAGUUGUCUAAUUUCUGACUCAGGUCUGAAGUCUGCAAAUUCUUCCUUUUUAUAUUCCUAGAGAAACCUCUUAAUCUUCUCCUUUGCGGACAAAGAUUUGGUAGCCCUCUCUUCCAUAUCUUGUUCUUAUGGGCGCUGGUUGAACAAGGAUAUAUCUUUUUUUUUUUGAGUUUUGAGUCUAAACCUCUGAGUGAGAUGUUGUGAGCUUUGGGUCCUUCCUGUUAGCCAACAUAUUCUUUCUUGUUGGUUCCUUUGUGUCUUUGAGUUCUCAGUAUGUGUUUUGCUCUUCCCUUGCUUUCUUUCUUUUCCCUUAAUGGUCAACCCAUUGGUGCUCAAAGUAAAUAAUAGUCAGUCUAGUCUACCCAGCUGGAGAAUCUUUGAUUUUACUGCUUGGUGUUCAGUCCUUGCUACGAACAACUGAAAGAUUAAUGCUAUAUAAAUCUUUCAGAAGUUCUUUACAUACAUAAAAUAAAGAGGCUACUUUGCUUUACCGGAAAGACAAUGGACAGGUACAAGUUAAUUAAAGAGGUUGGUGAUGGAACUUUUGGUACCGUGUGGCGAGCUAUCAAUAAGCAGACGGGUGAAGUUGUUGCAAUUAAGAAAAUGAAAAAGAAGUACUACUCAUGGGACGAAUGUAUCAAUCUGAGAGAAGUGAAGUCGCUUAGGAGAAUGGAUCAUCCAAAUAUCGUGAAGCUGAAGGAAGUCAUCCGCGAACAUGAUAUCCUAUACUUUGUCUUUGAGUACAUGGAUUACAACCUCUAUCAGCUAAUGAAAGAUCGACAAAAGCUUUUCGCAGAAGCUGUUAUUAAAAAAUGGUGCUUUCAAGUCUUUCAUGGCCUUUCAUAUAUGCAUCAGCGAGGUUACUUUCACCGCGAUCUUAAGCCAGAAAAUCUAUUAGUCUCUAAAGACAUCAUAAAGAUAGCUGAUUUUGGUUUGGCACGGGAGGUUAAUUCGAGUCCACCUUUUACCGAGUAUGUUUCUACACGCUGGUACAGGGCGCCUGAAGUACUCCUUCAGUCAUAUGUAUACACAUCAAAAGUUGAUAUGUGGGCGAUGGGAGCUAUUAUGUCUGAGUUGUUGUCUCUUCGUCCUAUAUUUCCAGGGGCUAGUGAAGCAGAUGAGAUCUAUAAGAUCUGCAGUGUCAUAGGCAGUCCAACUGAGGAGACCUGGUUAGAGGGACUUAAUCUUGCUAACACCAUAAACUAUCAAUUCCCUCAGCUUUCUGGUGUGCCUCUUUCAAGCUUGAUGCCAUCUGCUAGUGAAGACGCAAUUGAUCUUAUUACGGUAACUAACAGUUUUUUAAAAGGAGUUCCCUAUAGCUUUGGACAUAUUUCUCUAAUUUUCGGACACCAAUCUCUGCCUUUUUUCAUGAUUGUUCAGCGGCUUUGCUCCUGGGAUCCAUGCAAGAGACCCACUGCUGCAGAGGCUCUGCAGCACCCGUUCUUUAAGAGUUGCUUUUAUGUCCCACCAUCUCUCCGACCCAAGCCAUCUGUUGCAAGAACUCCUCCGCCUGUUGGACCAAGAGGAUCAUUCGAGCACCAAUCAGCUAAACGGCAGACUGUGUCUCUUGCCAAGCCAUUUAACAAUGUUUCUCCAAAGCCAAGUGCUGCUUUUGGCAGCGGCGUCCAGAGGAAACUCGACAUGGCUAAGCAAGAGGGAACGAGGAACACUAAACCGGUGAGAAGUUCUGUCAAAGACUCCAAAUACAGACCACCCGGAAGAAAGAGUCCUCCUGGAGGUAAUGCAGCAGGUUCGUCAUUGAGCAAGAACAGGGUCGCGCGUGGUGUAUCUGAGACUGCUGAUAAACUUUCCAACAUGAGCGUCAGAGGAACCGUGUCUCGAAGACACUCUGUGUCAGUGAUGCAGCAACAGCAGCUGAAGCCGCCGCCAAUGAAGGCAGGUUGUGUAGGAGAAAAACGUGACAUGUUCCUUAGACCAACCCAACCCGCCACCAGUGCCUACUCUAGGAAAGUCGCCGGCUGACCCAAAUACCUCUCAACAACAGUAAACAGUUUACUCCUGAAUACUAUCUUAUAUAAUAUAUACUCUGGUUUGUCCCUUAAGUCGUCAUUUCAUCAAAAAAGAAAAACAAACUUAAAACGGCUCCUUUUCAGUUUUGUGUCGUCUACAGUUUCUUGUUUUAUUUUAUUUUUUAUACUUUUGACUGUGUGAUGGUUUGUAUUAUGCGUGACGCUUGACUUUAUGGUUUGCAAUAAAGUUCGACUUGGGACUA